AGGUGGCGUUCCAACGGGUCAACCCUCUGUCUAAAAAUUACCUGAGAAAGCGAAGAGAAUACCACAGAGCCAUUGUCGAGGCGGAACUGGCGGAGGUGGAGGCGAUGCGAAAGUCCUACCACGCCGCGAAGGCCGCUAAGGAGGCGAAGGAAGCUGACGCCCUCCCCGCCACGCCCGUGAACUCCCCGCCCUCCACCGAAGACGAAGGGGAGGGGGAUACCGACCCUUCCUCCUCCCCCAAGGCCGCGGAGGGACAGGGCGGGGGCAGCGGGGGGCGGGGCGGGGCGGGGCUGCACUUCGGGGCCCUCAGUCAGUAGUCUUCGAGAGGAAAGAUGAGGUGAGCCACAAGAUUGAUGAGGCGUCCGUGGAGGCCAGCGAUAAGGGCAGGGAGUGAGUUAUGAAACGCCUCGCUCACACCUCCCUCCCCGUGGUGUUAUGAGCCCCCCCCCCGUGGUGUUUGUCCCCCUCUCCUCCCCUUCCCCUCCGUUUCUGUUACUUAGC